rnacentral:tRNA from 1 species
GAUUAGUUUAUAAGAAAGCUGCUAACUUUUUUAUAGCAUAGAGCUACUAAGUA